UAGACGAAUAGGAAUGACUUUCAAAUUUGACUAUACCUUUCCCUUCUUAAAAUUAAAAAAAGAAAGGAAAGGUAUAAAAUAAUUUAAAUAUAGUUUUUUAAAAAAAUUUUUUAAAUUUUCUUUAUAUUAUAAAUUGUUAAUUUUGUCAAAUAGAAGAAAUAUUUAUAAUAUUAUAAAUAGUAAAAUAGAGAUUUAAAUAAAGAUUUGGCGAAAUUUGUGCCAGCUGCCGCGGUUAUACAAAUAAAUCUAUUUUUUAUUGUUAUUUUAAUAAAAGUUGUUAUUUUUUUGAAAGUUUAUUAAGGUGAAAUUUAUAACUUCAAUUAUAAAUUAAUUGAUUUUAAAGAAAUUUAAAUUUUAAACUAGGAUUAGAUACCCUAUUAUUUUAAGCUCAAUAUUGUUAGUAUGUAAUAUAUAUGAAAUCAUAAGAUUUUGGCGGUAUUUUAAGCUUUUUAGAGGAAUUUGCUCUGUAAUGGAUAAAACGCCUAAAUCUUACUUAAUUUGGUUAAAUCAGUUUGUAUACCACUAUAUUUAAUUAUAUUGAAUAGUAAUAUUUAAGAUUUUUUUAUAAAAAUUAUAUUAAGUCAAGGUGCAAUAUAAAAUUAUGAAUGAAGUGAAUUACAUUGAUUUUAAUUGAUUAUUGUGAAAAUUUAAAUAAAGGAUUUAAAAGUAAAUUAUUAAUAAAAUGAAUAAUUGAAUAAAGCUCUAGGAUAUGCACAUAUCGCCCGUCGCUCUCAAAUUUGAGAUAAGUCGUAACAAAGUAAAAGUACUGGAAAGUGUUUUU
rnacentral:ncRNA from 1 species